rnacentral:lncRNA from 10 species
CCAACUCUCCUCUGAAGGAAAGAAGUAAAUUGUUAUAACAAAGAACACCAGCGAAGUCUUGUCAACAUCACUUUCUGAUGGCAAAGCCCGGUAAAGUUGAAUACAUGGAAACUACAUUUCCCAAGAUCCUUUGCCAACUGGCUCGCCAUGAGAUUCAGCCAACGGUAGGUACUAACGGAUGAUUUGAAGUCUGGAGAAGGGCCAUCUUAUGGGAGCAUGUUUCCUUCCCUCUCUGCCUCAGCUUGUGUCAUCUGGAGAAGAGCUCGUCUGUCCUCUAGUAUGUCCCAGGGCUUGCUCCAAUCACGUUGAAGUCCAGCUUCCACUAGCUGGCCCUUGCUCCCAGUUUCCAACAACACUGUCUGCUCUUCUGCUUCCUCCAUUUUGGGGUGCAGUAGUUUCCUGUUUGGGUCAUUGCUAAGACCCUAUUUGCUUUCUCUGGUUUUCCAUCACCAUAUGACCAAUUUUCUGCAUUAAAUU